UACAGAGGUCCCAAGCGUUGUUCGGAUUCAUUGGGCGUAAAGGGUGCGUAGGUGGCGCUGUAAGUCGGGUGUGAAAUUUCGGAGCUUAACUCCGAAACUGCAUUCGAUACUGCGGUGCUCGAGGACUGGAGAGGAGACUGGAAUUCAUGGUGUAGCAGUGAAAUGCGUAGAGAUCAUGAGGAAGACCAGUGGCGAAGGCGGGUCUCUGGACAGUUCCUGACACUGAGGCACGAAGGCCAGGGGAGCAAACGGG
rnacentral:rRNA from 1 species